rnacentral:rRNA from 1 species
GUGGGGAAUAUUGGACAAUGGGGGGAACCCUGAUCCAGCCAUGCCGCGUGUGUGAAGAAGGCCUUUUGGUUGUAAAGCACUUUAAGCGAGGAGGAGGCUACCGAGAUUAAUACUCUUGGAUAGUGGACGUUACUCGCAGAAUAAGCACCUGCUAACUCUGUGCCAGCAGCCGCGGUAAUACAGAGGGUGCAAGCGUUAAUCGGAUUUACUGGGCGUAAAGCGCGCGUAGGUGGCCAAUUAAGUCAAAUGUGAAAUCCCCGAGCUUAACUUGGGAAUUGCAUUCGAUACUGGUUGGCUAGAGUAUGGGAGAGGAUGGUAGAAUUCCAGGUGUAGCGGUGAAAUGCGUAGAGAUCUGGAGGAAUACCGAUGGCGAAGGCAGCCAUCUGGCCUAAUACUGACACUGAGGUGCGAAAGCAUGGGGAGCAAACAGGAUUAGAAACCCGAGUAGUCC